rnacentral:rRNA from 1 species
UACAGAGGGGGCCAGCGUUAUUCGGAAUUACUGGGCGUAAAGGGCGCGUAGGCGGCCUGGCAAGUGGAAGGUGAAAUCCCUCGGCUUAACCGAGGAACUGCCUCCCAAACUGCUUGGCUUGAGACCGGGAGAGGUGAGUGGAAUUCCCAGUGUAGCGGUGAAAUGCGUAGAUAUUGGGAGGAACACCAGUGGCGAAGGCGGCUCACUGGACCGGUACUGACGCUGAUGCGCGAAAGCGUGGGGAGCAAACGGG